UACGUAGGGAGCAAGCGUUGUCCGGAAUCAUUGGGCGUAAAGCGCGCGUAGGUGGUCCCGUAAGUCCGCUGUGAAAGUCAAAGGCUCAACCUUUGAAAGCCGGUGGAUACUGUGGGACUAGAGUACGGAAGAGGCGAGUGGAAUUCCUGGUGUAGCGGUGGAAUGCGCAGAUAUCAGGAGGAACACCAACGGCGAAGGCAGCCCGCUGGGACGGUACUGACGCUAAGGCGCGAAAGCGUGGGGAGCGAACAGG
rnacentral:rRNA from 1 species